UACGUAGGGGGCAAGCGUUGUCCGGAAUUAUUGGGCGUAAAGAGCGUGUAGGCGGUCCGGUAAGUCAGCUGUGAAAGUCAAGGGCUCAACCCUUGAAAGCCGGUUGAUACUGUCGGGCUAGAGUCCGGAAGAGGCGAGUGGAAUUCCCGGUGUAGCGGUGAAAUGCGCAGAUAUCGGGAGGAACACCAAUGGCGAAGGCAGCUCGCUGGGACGGUACUGACGCUGAGACGCGAAAGCGUGGGGAGCAAACAG
rnacentral:rRNA from 1 species